UUCCUACGGGACGCAGCAGUAGGGAAUCUUCCACAAUGGACGAAAGUCUGAUGGAGCAACGCCGCGUGAGUGAAGAAGGGUUUCGGCUCGUAAAGCUCUUGUGGUAGUGAAGAAAGAUAGAGGGAGUAACUGGCCUUUAUUUGACGGUAAUUACUUAGAAAGUCACGGCUAACUACGUGCCAGCAACCGCGGUAAUACGUAGGUGGCAAGCGUUGUCCGGAUUUAUUGGGCGUAAAGCGAGUGCAGGCGGUUAAAUAAAGCUGGUGUGAAAACCUUCGGCUCCAACCGGGAAAU
rnacentral:rRNA from 1 species